UACGAGGGGGGCGAGCGUUGUUCGGAAUUACUGGGCGUAAAGAGCGUGUAGGCGGUUCGAUAAGUCGAGUGUGAAAGCCCGAGGCUUAACUUCGGAAGUGCACUCGAAACUGCCGUGCUCGAGUGUGGGAGAGGUGCGUGGAAUUCCCGGUGUAGCGGUGAAAUGCGUAGAUAUCAAGCGGAACACCAGUGGCGAAGGCGAGUCCCUGGACAACUCCUGACACUGAGGCACGAAAGCUAGGGGAGCAAAC
rnacentral:rRNA from 1 species